CAUGUAGGCGGAUAUUUAAGUCAGGGGUGAAAUCCCUGAGCUUAACUUAGGAAUUGCAUUCGAUACUGGAAAGCUAGAGUAUGGGAGAGGAUGGUAGAAUUCCAGGUGUAGCGGUGAAAUGCGUAGAGAUCUGGAGGAAUACCGAUGGCGAAGGCAGCCAUCUGGCCUAAUACUGACGCUGAGGUACGAAAGCAUGGGGAGCAAACAGGAUUAGAUACCCGAGUA
rnacentral:rRNA from 1 species